GGUGGGGGCGGAGCCACAGCCGGCUCGCGCUUGUCACUCAAGCGGGUCAGGAGAGCGCGCGCCUGACUGAGAGAGACAGAGAGCGCGCGCCCAUACAAGCUCGCGCGCGCUUCAAUAGCCAGCAGGUUGCUUUCAAAACUGAAAAGCGUCCGGAUUACUUGCCCCGCCUCCUCACCUUCUCCCGCGCCUUCACCGUUUCAGCGAGGUGUGUGUGUUUGUAUGUAUAUAUGUAUGUGUGUACAUACAUACAUACAUACAUACAUACACACCGUACUAGCCGUGCCCGGCCACGCGUUGCUGUGGCAGGGUUUAUAUACCUGUGGUAUAAUGUCCAGGGUGGGAGAAAGAACUUUUGUCUGUUGAAGGCAAGUAUGAAUUCUGAAAUUAGUCAUCUUGAGUACCAUUUAAUGGCCUUGCGGCUUCAAAGCCUAGCUGCUUCCUCACUGGGGGAAUCCUUUGUUGGGAGGUGUUAGCUGGCUCAGGUUGUUUCCUGUCUGGAAUUUUCAGAGUGUAGUUCUUUAUUUUACUGUCCUGAUUUUAGAGUUUUUAAAUGGGCAGUGUUUCUUCUGCAUGCGCUGUAUAUUGUUGUUAAUUGGAGGGGGGGCUUUAAGUCCUUUUCUUUGUGUGUGUAUGUUUUUUCUUUGUGGUUGUCUGUCAUUGGGUAGUGAGGCAUUUUGUUGUCAAAUCUUGUGUUAUUUGCUCCAGUGGUUUUGUUGCUAAUUCGGUCCUACAAGCGGACAGUACAUUUUUAUAGAGAGAUAGAGAGAGAUAUACACACAUACAUACAUACAGGCCUGUGACCAGAAAAAAAAUGGGAGGGGUUGAAACUUUUUUUCCAAGAUGACUUUUCAGACCAGUGUCUCCUGAUCCGGCAUGAGAUCUCAACAAAGCCCUGAAAUUAUCAUCAUGUGCAAAGGUUCUUCACAGGUAACAGGUCCUGAAUCAUUGCUCCCUCUUAAAGCCAGCUCUUGUCAGCCACAAAGAACAAUAGUUUCCACAAUUGGCAGAAGUUUCUUUCAGUUUUCUUCUGCUUUCUUAUUUCCUUUAUCAUCAAGAUGUUUUCUAGUGUGAAUUAGCAAGAAAUUUUCAGCCAAGCACAAAUUGUUUUGAUGGUACUGUGUUUGUUGGUGUCUACUGAAGACUUCUAUUGCAUUUUCCAAUUGCACAAAUGGUUUAAUCACCAAUGCACCAAGCUUCUGAUGAACACUUUUGCCCCAACUUCUCCUCCAAACACCACGCCGUACUUAUAGAGAGCAACUUGUACAUGCAGUGAGUAGCUAACCAGGGAAAUCUGCUGAACCAUUUGGGUUGAAAUCUUAGGUGCGUCUUCUUAUCCAGAGGAAAUACAUAUCCUGGCAACUGAGUCUGUGGAUUUUGCAUUAACUGAGCUUUCACUUGGUCAUCAGAAACAGUCUUGUUCAUAUAAAGUUCAAGGCCUAACAAUGACACAGUUUCUUGUCUUUGUUCCUGUUCCAUAGUUUAUGUUAGACAAACCAGUGGCAAAUACUGCAUUUUCCUCAGUCUUCACCUGCAAUCUAAGUCAACCCGCCACCCGCCACUGUCCUAUGCCUUAGGUUUUGCCUGCCUGCUGCCAGUAGACCAACUUGGUUGCUUCCACUAUGUCAACUAUUGCUGCUAUUGCAAUAUAAAUUGGUAGAAAGGCUGAAAUCUCUCCGCUUCAAGUGAACCAUAUAGCUAGACAAACUGUUUUGGGUUUGCCUGGGCUGACAUGGGAAGUCACCUAUCUCUACCAACGCAUAAACAAUGGAUCUAGUGAUUACCUGGUUUGGGAAACAGCCAGAGGGGCUUAUCCAGCCUUCCUGUUCUCGGCCCUGCAUUCAAGUCCUAUUGACAAGCACGAAGGGAGUUCACCAAAGGCAAGGAGGAGGCAACUUUGCAGGGCUGACAAAUGGAUCAGUCAGAAAGCAGGCUUGGCAACAAUGACAGUUCUAGCUUUCCAUGAAUAAAUUUACAGAAAGGCCUACUAUGGAAAAAAUCUUUCUGAUGUCAUCUGGCCAAGAGAUCGUGACAUACAAUGCCAGCCACAGAUGCAGGCAAAACGUCAGGAGAAUAUGCUGCUAGAACAUGGCCAUGCAGCUCGGAAACCACACAACAUCCCAAUGCCUUUAUCUUCUCAUUUCUGCACAACUGCUUUAGCACAAGCCUGGUCAAACAAGAACUGGAUGAAAGGUUGGUAUUUAAAUGAUGACAAAUAGUUCUACAGAAUACUGUCUUCUCUUGAGCUUUGCAAUCUAAUCUCAAUGUUAAUAGAUUACUGCAACAUGCUCUAUGUGGAGUUGCCUUUGAAGACUGUUUGGAAGCUCCAAAUGGUCCAACGGGCAGCAGCCAGAUUGCUCACCGGAGCGGUGUACAGGGAGCAUACAACCCCCGUUAUGUCAGCUCCACUGGCUGCCAGUCUGCUACUAAGCAUAAUUCAAAGUGCUGGCUUUGGGCUAUAGAGCCCUAAAUGGUUCUGGCCCAGCUUACCUGUCUGAACAUAUCUCCCUCUACAAACGAUGUCAGACUUUUAGAUCAUCUGGGGAGGCCCUGCUCUCAAUCUCGCCUUCUUUGCAGGUGUGAUUGGUGGAGACGAGAGACAGGGCCUUCUCAGUGGUGACCCCUCAGCUAUGGAACUCCCUUCUAACAUUCCAGCAACCCACAAUACCAACUAUGCUGAUGAAGAUGAGAAUUUUCCUGCACAACUUCCAAAUAACUCCAACACGGGUUUUUCGAGACUUGGACAUCACCCCUUUGAUAACUCCUUUGCAUGCCAGAUGUCUGACCACUCCCAGGGAGACUUCUUGCGAUAACAGACUGCAAUCCAGCCCAGCCAAAAUUUCCAGUAUUUCAACACAGAAACAGCCUAAGGACCCAACUACUUCAACCUGCAAUGAACAAUCUGACAUUACCUUUAAGUUGGACCACCUUAAGAACAAGCUGUUUAUCACCAAGGACUUGGCUGAACCGUUGAUAAACUUAGUACCUAUUGAUGAGCCCUCUCAUGUUAGGAGGAACCCGGAGGGAGGCCCUGUAGUCGACCUACUAGCGAUGAAUGAGGAAGAGAUUGCAACCACAUCCCCAAUACAACUUUUGGAACCUAGGAGGGGUAACAACACACCCCCUCCGCAAGAACUGUCCUCUAACCUAAAAGCCCCGGUGCAGACUAUGACCCUGGGUACUGGUGGUGAUCCAGAUUUGCUUGCAACAUCUUGACAACUACAUUUGUUAUCCUGGAACAUUAUGGGGUGGUCAAAUAAAUUCCAUGAUGCAGACUUUGCAAUGUAUUUGCAAACAUUUAGAAUAAUUUGUCUGCAAGAGACAUGGGCUGAAGAAGCUAACUUACCAUCUCUUUAUGGUUUUAGAUCAUUCUCAGUGCCAGCUGUAAAAAUAAGUUCUAAAGGUCGCGGCAGUGGUGGCCUCACUACACUUAUCUCAGUAGAAGUAAUAAUAACAUUACUUCACUUCAAUAGAUCAAACAGAGCAACAAUAUAUACAAUAGUCUCUCUGAUUUCUUACAGAGAACAGAGGGAGUAAACAGUCCUUUUAAAACAGUCUUUAAAUAUGCUUCAUUGCCUUAAAAAUGAUUAGGCUUCAGAGAGUUCAGUUGGCAGCCAUUAAUUCCCUGGCUGUUUCCAGUCAGCACUCUCUUCGCUCUCUGAGGUGAAAAUGCCAUCUCAAACUGUUUCUCUUAGUAGCAACCAGAGACAGUAGCCAAUCAGAAUGUCAAGCUUAGUCAAUAAGCUGCUGACACAUGUCUUUCCAGUCAACCCAUUACAUCAUGGUGCCUUUUUACAAAUCUCCACAAGCCCCCUCCUUCCCGAUCUUCCAUCAGAGAGUAAAACGUGGCUCUUUGACCAAGCCUUUGGAGAACCUGUGCAAUAAACAGAUAUGGAAUGACAUGUUAUGACUAUAGGAACGACCCGAUUUAUGCUUGUUGAUUAUGUGGUCAAUUAUUAUGUUAUGAUUUUUAAAUGCCUCUAAUUGUUUUAACUGUAUUUUUCUAUUCUAUUUAAAUAUCCAUUUUGAUUUUGUAUUGUCUUAAUUUUGUAUUGUGUUGUUAAGGCAUCAAAUAGCUGCCUAUAUGUAAAACUGCCUUGAGUCCCCUUUGGGGUGGAGAAAGGCAGGAUAUCAUAAAUAAAUAAAUAAAGUUCUGUCUACAAUGAGAAACAUUUAUAUUCUGCCUGCCUGCAACACUGGUUUAAAUGCUCUUGGUUAAAAAGGUGUGAGGAUGGAACAAGGGUGCGUUUCUUUGAAAAUGGAUGCAAAUACAAUUUUGCCCAGGUAGUGAUGUGUUUCUUGACACUUAUACUGUCUUUCCCAUUGUUGGGCUCAGCAAGAGGCUGGGGAUUUCUCAGAGGACAAGGGGGAUGAUGGGUUUCCUACUGAGGAGUCUGUGUGUGAUCAGGGAGAAAUACAGGUCUUAUAUCAGAGAUAAGUGCAGGCAGUUGAAGAUGAGAUAGAGGAUGUUUUGGAUUCCAAUGUUCAUUCCUUAGCAACAGGUGAAAUCCAUUUCUCUUGGGAAUCGGCCUUCAGCUGAUGUGGAG